AGCGAACGCUGGCGGCAGGCCUAACACAUGCAAGUCGAACGAACUCUUCGGAGUUAGUGGCGGACGGGUGAGUACCACGUGGGAACGUGCCUUUAGGUUCGGAAUCACUCAGGGAAACUUGUGCUAAUACCGAAUGUGCCCUUCGGGGGUAAGAUUUAUCGCCUUUAGAGCGGCCCGCGUCUGAUUAGCUAGUUGGUGAGGUAAAGGCUCACCAAGGCGACGAUCAGUAGCUGAUCUGGGAGGAUGAUCAGCCACAUUGGGACUGAGACACGGCCCAAACUCCGACGGGAGGCAGCAGUGGAGAAUCUUGCGCAAUGGGCGAAAGCCUGACGCAGCCAUGCCGCGUGAAUGAUGAAGGUCUUAGGAUUGUAAAAUUCUUUCACCGGAGACGAUAAUGACGGUACCCGGAGAAGAAGCCCCGGCUAACUUCGUG
rnacentral:rRNA from 1 species